rnacentral:rRNA from 1 species
CAGAUUGAACGCUGGGCGGAAUGCUUUACACAUGCAAGUCGAACGGUAGGAGGGGGCAACCCUUGAGAGUGGCGAACGGUGAGUAAUAUAUCGGAACGUGCCCAGUCGUGGGGGAUAACGUAGCGAAAGUUACGCUAAUACCGCAUACGAUCUAUGGAUGAAAGCGGGGGAUCGCAAGACCUCGCGCGAUUGGAGCGGCCGAUAUCAGAUUAGGUAGUUGGUGAGGUAAAGGCUCACCAAGCCGACGAUCUGUAGCUGGUCUGAGAGGACGACCAGCCACACUGGGACUGAGACACGGCCCAGACUCCUACGGGAGGCAGCAGUGGGGAAUUUUGGACAAUGGGCGCAAGCCUGAUCCAGCAAUGCCGCGUGCAGGAUGAAGGCCUUCGGGUUGUAAACUGCUUUUGUACGGAACGAAACGGUGAGCUCUAAUACAGUUUGCUAAUGACGGUACCGUAAGAAUAAGCACCGGCUAACUACGUG